rnacentral:rRNA from 1 species
UACGGAGGGUGCAAGCGUUAUCCGGAUUCACUGGGUUUAAAGGGUGCGUAGGCGGGCAGGUAAGUCCGUGGUGAAAUCUCUGAGCUUAACUCAGAAACUGCCAUGGAUACUAUUUGUCUUGAAUAUUGUGGAGGUAAUCGGAAUAUGUCAUGUAGCGGUGAAAUGCUUAGAUAUGACAUAGAACACCAAUUGCGAAGGCAGCUUACUACACAGUUAUUGACGCUGAGGCACGAAAGCGUGGGGAUCAAACAGG